GACGAACGCUGGCGGCGUGCUUAACACAUGCAAGUCGAACGGUAAGGCCCUUCGGGGUACACGAGUGGCGAACGGGUGAGUAACACGUGGGUGAUCUGCCCUGCACUUCGGGAUAAGCCUGGGAAACUGGGUCUAAUACCGGAUAGGACCACUGCCUGCAUGGGUGGUGGUGGAAAGCUUUUGCGGUGUGGGAUGGGCCCGCGGCCUAUCAGCUUGUUGGUGGGGUGAUGGCCUACCAAGGCGACGAGGGGUAGCCGGCCUGAGAGGGUGACCAGCCACACUGGGACUGAGCUACGGCCAAGACCCCUACGGGAGGCAGCAGUGGGGAAUAUUGCACAAUGGGCGCGAGCCUUAUGCAGCGACGCCGCGUGAGGGAUGACGGCCUUCGGGUUGUAAACCUCUUUCAGCACCGACGAAGCGCAAGUGACGGUAGGUGCAGAAGAAGGACCGGCCAACUACGUGCCAGCCGCCGCAGUAA
rnacentral:rRNA from 1 species